GCGGAUCGAUUCAAGGCACAGGUCGUCGUGUCGGUCGACGGUCAGAGCUAAAACGGCUAGCCUGCAAAAUGAGGGUAUUGUAGGGAUGGGAGGGUGUCUAUGUGUGUGCGUGCCGCGUAAGCGAACACCACACUCGGUAAGUCAGAACGGGCUUUAUGCAAGUUUUGCAAAGUCACACCUUGUUUCGAAGGGACAUUUUACUCCGUUUAUAGAUCAAAGGAUAAAGUCUACCGAGAAAAAACGCAGCACGGUCGCGAACUGAUUUUAUAUGCGGCCGGAAAGUCAUCGAUGCAUCCAGGGCGACUACCAGGUAUUUGACCUUCUUAGUCCAGGGUGCUCGUUGACCGAAGAGGGUGAUCGGGGAUGUGACAUUUCUCUUCAUAAUGCAGGAGGUAAUACGGGUUGAGUUUCCCCUUUGAAAGAGCAUUGAAAAUAGAUGCCCACAUCCCGAUGAGUUGGGCACGUAGAGGUUUAAUAAAGUGGUUGGAUAUACCGUCGGAAUCAGGAGCCUAGCGAGGACGUAAGUCUUUGAUUAGAUCUUUAACUUCUAUCGGGGUGAGAUCGAUAACUACUGUACCACCGAGUCAAUCAAAUGCCAUUCAAUGCUUAUUAAUUUUUUUUUACAUUACAAUUUAUAUUUUUAACUUGUUCUUUAUUUUAUGAGAGCAUAAUGUGAUUUAUACACCUGCCAUCCUCCAGGCCUCGCUGUUCAAAAAUAAAAAUAAUUAUAACCAGCUCUAGACAAAAAAAUAUAUUUGUUCAAAAACUUACUGCCACCAAUACAUCAAAGCCAAAAAAGCUUAAUUGGAUGUAAUACUUAUUAUCCGAGGCAUUACCGUGCAAACAUUAAAUCUAAGAAAAUGAAAAUUGAUCUCUCUAAACUUUUUAUUGUUUUUUUGUGUGCAAAUUUUAAUUUUACAUAUAAAAACUUAUUUUUCUGAACCUAUUGUUCGAAACUCUAUUGUUGCGGAAAUUACAAAAAAAUGUGUAAUGUCUAUAAAUUCAAAGUAUGUGUCAAAUUGCGCUGAAUACUGCUUUUAAUUGUGUUUUCAGUUUGAAAUUAAGUGACAAAUUAGAAGGAAGGAAGGAAAUGCCACUUUCAGGAAAUUUUCGUCGCGAAAUGUUUGUGGCUAUGAAGAAUGCCAAAAAAACGAAAGAAAACAGCGAAGCAGAUAUGGUUAACGAUGGUGAAGACGAUUCAACAAAUAACGAUGAUGAAACAAACAAAGCAACUUCCAUGUUUGCAAAAUCAAUUAAAUCGGACAAAUCUACCAACGCUAGAACCAUACUUGCCAAAGAAUCUUCCAAAGAUUCUAAGCAAUUUGUUGAAAAAUGAAUAAUAAAUAGGAUUUAUGUAUUUAUGUGUUAUAUAUUUUGUCUUUUAAUAAAGCUUAGUAUUAAUAACUUAUUCUCAUA